GACAGUUACCUGUGAGUCAUGUCUAACUCUUUCAAUUCUGUCACAAACCAGUACAAAUCAGUGACCACUAUCUUCAGUUUCCUGUAUAAUAGAUGACGAAUGCUUAAGUUUGCUAAGUUAAAAGUCAGCAUCUUACAGCUUAUUUCUACAAUGAUUUGUUUUCUUUCACAGUGUAGUACAAGAUUAGGUAAACAUGAAGACUAAAUAUAUGGUUCUUAAUGAACUCUGAUCCCUGAAUACUAGCUACAUAGUUCUUACAUAUUUUGACCACUGCAUCUAAGUUUGAUGACUUCGUAUUAAUUAGUAUUGGUUUUUACAGGAGACAGUGACAUUUAAGGAUGUGGCUGUGGACCUCACCCAGGAGGAAUGGCAGCACAUGAAACCUGCUCAGAGGAACUUGUACCGGGAUGUGAUGCUAGAGAACUACAGCAACCUAGUCACAGUGGGUUAUCAAGUCACCAAACCAGAUGUGAUCUUCAAGUUGGAGCAAGAAGAGGAGCCAUGGGUGAUAGAGGAAGAAAUGCUUGGGAGGCACUGUCCAGGUGAAUAAGUAAAAAGCAGCUCUGAAUGAGAAAGCCACAGGACAAUUGUUCAUGUGGUUGAUACCAUUUCACAUUUUCCAAACUUUUCUUAAAGGCUGUAGUGUUCUAAGGGGACAAAUGGUAUGAAUGGAUUGGAUUAUUAUGACCUUUCCAAAUACUAUAUUGUUCCUAUACUGGAACUAUCUCCUUUUCCAAAUUUUAAGGGGCUGGUAGUUCCAUCUGAUUUCAGGAUGCCAACCUUCUUUAAUUUGUUUAAAGCCUCACUUUCAGGAUUAUUGUCCCUCUGUGAUCCUUAAACUCUCUUUUUCCUUUGUGAUUGUAGUUUUAGUUUUUUUCCUUGUUCAUUCAGUAUUUCACAGAUGUGUAAUAAUUUAAAAGUCUGUUUGUUUCACACUUAGAUUUUGUUUCAGUUUCUUUCCAUUUUGAAAGUUAAUUCCAUAAACUAACUUUCAUAGAUUUGACAUCUUUAGAAUGUUGAGAUUU
rnacentral:lncRNA from 1 species